AAACUGAAGAGUUUGAUCCUGGCUCAGAUUGAACGCUGGCGGCAUGCCUAACACAUGCAAGUCGAACGGAAACGAUGGAAGCUUGCUUCCAGGCGUCGAGUGGCGGACGGGUGAGUAAUACUUAGGAAUCUGCCUAUUAGUGGGGGACAACUCGAGGAAACUCGAGCUAAUACCGCAUACGCCCUACGGGGGAAAGCGGAGGACCUUUCGGGGCUUCGCGCUAAUGGAUGAGCCUAAGCCGGAUUAGCUAGUUGGUAGGGUAAAAGCCUACCAAGGCGACGAUCCGUAGCUGGUUUGAGAGGAUGAUCAGCCACACUGGGACUGAGACACGGCCCAGACU
rnacentral:rRNA from 1 species